CACGGGUAAACGCAAAUAUCGGAGAACAAUCGUGUGAUGUGACAUUCUUUUGCAUUUCUCAGUCAAUAUAAACAGUGAGUUAAGAAAUUCGUAGUGGCAAUCUGUUAACACUCAAGAGAACUAGAAAACCCACAAUGCAGGCUGGCUGGCUCGGUUUAUUUAAAUCUCAGUGGAAGAAAUGAAGAAAAUGUAUAUAUACACGAACAAUAAUACCAGAGGCGUUGUAUGCUUUAUCGGACAGGAAAGUGGUGAACGAUUGAGUAAAGAGCUUGAAAGAGCAGUGGGUCGCAUUGGGACGCAGCAGUACAGCACCGGGGACAGUGGCCCAGAACGUUGGACACCAGGUAAUUGUUUUACACGUGAACGGUUACCUUCCAUGUUUAUUCACCGACAUCUAUAUCCAUGGCAGACAGACAGACAGACAGACAACUUGGAAGUAAAAUUGUAGGGAGAACUGCUACCAGGUGUCGAUGAAACGAGGGCUUUAACCAAACUGAAGGCUUUUUGGGUCUGGGGGUUGAUUAGCCCUAGUUUAAGCACACCAGGUUGGUUUUCUCUGUUGUUAAUU
rnacentral:lncRNA from 1 species